AGAUGGGAGCACUGGUCUGAGCCCGGGAAUCAUAAUCCUGGGGUCGGGGGUUCGAGUCCCUCCCCCGCUACCA
rnacentral:tRNA from 1 species